rnacentral:lncRNA from 1 species
AAUUUGUGCAAUAAUCAGUGGUUGUUGAAUGUAAACAGUUCAUAUUUACCUUUGAUAAGACAGUGUGUAUUUGAUGAAGCUAAUCAAGGGUUUCAUGUUUUAUAAUAUUCUUCUGCUUUAUGUUAUUUUGCAAUUAUAUUUACAGAAAUUCGUUCUGGUCCUUUUUCGUAAAUGUACAAAAAGGAUUCGUUUGUCUUCACACAACCUUUGUAUUUUAACUGGACGUUAUGUUAGGGAUAAUAGAAAUGAAAGAAUUUUUUUUGUGUGAUUUAGGAGUAAUAGAGGAUGGAUUUCAUUUCAUCCUGCAAUUAAGCAGAUAUACUGAUUGGCGAUAAAAAUAUAUUACUGGUCUAGGUCAUCAAUUUUUAAUCAACCCCAGCUUUUGCAGGGGGUUCGUGUUGCUUAGUCUUUAGUUUGCUAUGCUGUGUCUUCUGUACUAUCAUUUGUCUGUUGUGUUUUUUUAUCCAUGGCGUUGUCGGUUUAUUUUCAAUGGGUUUAACUGCCCCUUUGGUAUCUUUGGUCCCUCCUUUAAGUAAAUAGAGUUAUUGUUUGGUAAAAAACACAAAACAGCUUUGUAACUUAGGAAAAUAUGUACAUUUAUCUUUUUAAUUAAGAAACAAUUUAUUGUAGUAAAAGGUAUUUUGUAUUGAUGAAACUUCUGACGUCACCUAUUGUUAAUUAUGCAUAUUGUUAAUAUUGUUUGUAGUAUGCCAUAUGUAUAAAC